AGUUCUUUCGGGAACUAGAGACCGGCGCACGGGUGCGUAACGCGUAUGCAACUUGCCCUACUGAAAAGGAUAGCCCUUCGAAAGGAGGAUUAAUACUUUAUAACAGAUUUAAUGGCAUCAUUAGAUUUUGAAAGAUUUAUCGCAGUAGGAUAGGCAUGCGUAAGAUUAGUUAGUUGGUGAGGUAACGGCUCACCAAGACGAUGAUCUUUAGGGGGCCUGAGAGGGUGAACCCCCACACUGGUACUGAGACACGGACCAGACUCCUACGGGAGGCAGCAGUGAGGAAUAUUGGACAAUGGGUGGAAGCCUGAUCCAGCCAUCCCGCGUGUAGGAUGACGGCCUUAUGGGUUGUAAACUACUUUUAUCUGGGGAUAAACCUACUUACGUGUAAGUAGCUGAAGGUACCAGAAGAAUAAGCACCGGCUAACUCCGUGCCAGCAGCCGCGGUAAUACGGAGGGUGCAAGCGUUAUCCGGAUUUAUUGGGUUUAAAGGGUCCGUAGGCGGAUUAAUCAGUCAGUGGUGAAAUCUCAUAGCUUAACUAUGAAACUGCCAUUGAUACUGUUAGUCUUGAGUGAUGUUGAA
rnacentral:rRNA from 1 species